UAUACACUGAUAUGUUAAUAUUUACAUUUGUCAUGUGAAGGAGUUGUAGACAAUACUGAAUAGACCUAAAUAGAAUCAUGGAAUCAUAGAAUCAUAGAAUGGCCUGGGUUGAAAAGGACCACAAUGAAAUAGUGCUUUCUUGAGUUUUACAGCGUAGAACUGAGUUUUAUACUACCUUAUUCUGUACCCCUAAAACUGCAUUAAAAUUCUUGCUACAUUUUGGUUUCUUAUUUAUGAAUAUACAUAUAUUUCAAUAAGAAAAGUAGAAGAGUAUUUAAAUACAGUGUAAAUGAUCUGUAAAUUGUAUAGGCACUGCUUAUGAGAGACAGCAGAUAUACACUUUGGGUUACACAAGUGACAUCCAAGCUGUGAAGCAAGUAUCCUGGUCUUGGUUUUUCCAGUUGAGAAACAAGCUGAUAGGUGCCUACACCCCAACUUCCAGGCUACAUAACUUGCUUUUCCAGUCAGACCUGAAAGUACAACAGGAAAAGUGGUUUCAAGCUAUACAGAGUUCAGAUGUGACUGCAGUACGAACUUGGAGCUGCCAUCUGGGGAGACCACGCCAAAUAUGUACAGCACUUAGGUCUCUAAGAUCAGUUCAAGGCAAGAAGAAACAUACUGUUGUGCUCCUCCUGGAAAACCCCUUCCAACUCCCCUACACUUCAGAAAAAGAAGUUUCUGAACCAAUGGCCUGGCUCCAAAUUCUCCUCAGGCUGAUAACCCGUACGAAGCAUACUGCAAACAGAAAUAUUUAUAUAGUGUCUUCCAGCAUUGCUCAAGGUAACUCAGAUUACCAUAAGAAGGCGACUAUUGUUGCUCAUUUUUACAGUGUUUCUAUGCCUGUGCUAGGUG
ensembl:lncRNA